GUAGAUAUACCUAAGAGACAUUUAAAAAUAAUAAUAAUUUUAUGAAUGAAUAUUUUCAUACUAUAAAAUGAUCAUACAAAUUUCUAUUUCAACAUUCAAACAAAAACAAAUAUGGCAGAAAUUCUGAAGUUUGCAUGUGUGAUGAUUAUUUUACUUUUCAUCAUGUGUAUCAUUGUAACUAAUGGAAUUUUUUUAUGCGAUCGUGAUCGCGACUGUCCUAAACCCGAUUGUCUGCCAGAGGAAUAUCCGAAGUGCGUAAGGGGUGUUUGUAAAUGUAUACAGUUUUAGAGAUUAAGUUUAAAAAAAAUAAUUUUAAGAGUAUAAUAUUUGUAACAAUAAUGUUGUUAUUUUUAUAUUUCUCUCACGAUUCAAUCUUUGUUUGUCAGACCUUAAAAUUUAUUUGAUCGACUAAAAAGCAUAUCAUUUAAUAUAUAUGGAGUAGUUUUUA